UAAGUACACAGCUUGUGCUACCAAGACCUCACUAUAUUGUUUAUAUCUGUGAAAGGAAUAUCAAGCACUGAUAUUUUGCCUAGGUUGACAUCCAAAACUCCAAGAUAUGACUUCCCAUUCUCCCUGUAACUGCAGGCAAUUAAAGUAUCUUGGUCGUGGUUCUUAAGAAAGUCAUAAGACUUCAUCCCAAAUAUCCAUAAGGGUCUUGUAAACUCAGCAUCGAGAGAGUAAACUGGUAGCACCUCGUUAGAAGACUCUACCCAUUUGUAAAUAUUCCAAAACCCACUUUUCCUGUCAGUUACAAAGUACAGCUCCCCUUGAGAAGACCAUAGGGGUUCAGUAGGAGAUUCCACAAUAGUAGGAUCACCACCAGCAACACAUAUGCGGUUUUG
rnacentral:misc_RNA from 1 species